rnacentral:rRNA from 1 species
GAGUUUGAUUCUGGCUCAGGACGAACGCUGGCGGCGUGCCUAAUACAUGCAAGUCGAGCGGAGUUGAAUAAGUGCUUGCACUAAUUCAACUUAGCGGCGAACGGGUGAGUAACACGUAAAGAACCUGCCUCAUAGACUGGGACAACUACUGGAAACGGUAGCUAAUACCGGAUAACAUAUUUUUCUGCAUGGAAGAAUAUUGAAAGUCGGUCAUGCUGACACUAUGAGAUGGCUUUGCGGUGCAUUAGCUAGUUGGUAGGGUAAAGGCCUACCAAGGCGACGAUGCAUAGCCGACCUGAGAGGGUGAUCGGCCACACUGGGACUGAGACACGGCCCAGACUCCUACGGGAGGCAGCAGUAGGGAAUCUUCCGCAAUGGACGAAAGUCUGACGGAGCAACGCCGCGUGAGUGAAGAAGGAUUUCGGUUCGUAAAACUCUGUUGUUAGGGAAGAAUGAUUGUAUAGUAACUAUAUACAGAGAGACG